rnacentral:rRNA from 1 species
UACGUAGGGUGCAAGCGUUGUCCGGAAUUAUUGGGCGUAAAGAGCUCGUAGGCGGUUUGUCGCGUCGAAUGUGAAAACCCGGGGCUCAACCCCGGGCCUGCAUUCGAUACGGGCAGACUAGAGUUCGGUAGGGGAGUCUGGAAUUCCUGGUGUAGCGGUGAAAUGCGCAGAUAUCAGGAGGAACACCGGUGGCGAAGGCGGGACUCUGGGCCGAUACUGACGCUGAGGAGCGGAAGCGUGGGGAGCAAACAGG